GCCGCGGUAAUACGGAGGAUCCAAGCGUUAUCCGGAAUCAUUGGGCGUAAAGCGCGCGCAGGCGGUUCUUUAAGUCUUGUGUUUAAUCCCGGGGCUCAACCUCGGUACGCAUGGGAAACUGGAGGACUGGAGUGCAGGAGAGGAAAGUGGAAUUCCACGUGUAGCGGUGAAAUGCGUAGAGAUGUGGAGGAACACCAGUGGCGAAGGCGACUUUCUGGCCUGUAACUGACGCUGAGGCGCGAAAGCGUGGGGAGCAAACAGG
rnacentral:rRNA from 1 species